UCGGAUAUGGUGUAACGGCUAACAUUGCCGCCUCUCAUGGAUAAAUCCGGAUUUCCGGGCUUUCCCGCGGCAGCUCGGGGUUCGAUUCCCCGUAUCCGAA